rnacentral:rRNA from 1 species
GAUGAACGCUGGCGGCAUGCCUAAGACAUGCAAGUCGAACGAGACAGCCCGCAGAAUGAUUGGAAAGUUUGAGAAGCUUGCUUCGAGGACCGGAAGAGAAGGACGCGGAACCUCUGUCUAGUGGCAAACGGGUGAGUAACACGUGGGUAACCUACCUUCUUGUUGGGGAUACCAGUUGGAAACGACUGUUAAUACCGAAUACGCUCUACGGAGUAAAGUACCUUUCGGGGUAUGCAAGGAGAUGGGCCUGCGGUGCAUUAGAUAGUUGGUGGGGUAAGAGCCUACCAAGUCAACGAUGCAUAGCUGAACUGAGAGGUUGAUCGGCCACACUGGGACUGAGACACGGCCCAG